rnacentral:rRNA from 1 species
UACGUAGGGACCAAGCGUUGUCCGGAAUCAUUGGGCGUAAAGAGCGUGUAGGCGGCUUGUUAAGUCUUGCGUGAAAUCUCGGGGCUCAACCCCGAGCGGUCGUGAGAAACUGGCAGGCUAGAGUGCGGGAGAGGAGAGUGGAAUUCCUGGUGUAGCGGUGAAAUGCGCAGAUAUCAGGAAGCACACCCGUGGCGAAGGCGGCUCUCUGGACGGCAACUGACGCUGAGGCACGAAAGCGUGGGGAGCAAACAGG